rnacentral:tRNA from 1 species
UGGGGGGUGGUGCAAUGGUAACACGUCUCCCUUUGAAGGAGAAGCUCUAGGUUCGAUCCCUAGCCCCCCAG